rnacentral:lncRNA from 1 species
AUCGAGUACACGAGGCGUCACAUUGCGUCACUCUCCUACGUACUACCGAAUUAGUAAGAAGGAGAGUGAAGUGUGGUGACGCAUUGUCAAUUCGAUGUUGAUUGGCUGGCGUUAAGGGGUUAUAAUUCGAAAACGGUGCCAUUUUGGACCAUAUGUUCAUUAGACAUUUUCGACUUGUUUCUUUCCUAUCACUACAGGGGAUUUUACGAGGAAGUUUUUCUUCAUCCUGUAUGUCCUUAUGCAAUUUAUUUUUUAAUAUAAACUUAAGUGCUCUAAUUGCGAUUUAUUUGUUAUUUUGUAAAUAUUCCAGGAAAGUAAGUCCGAAUAAUCGGGAAUCUACUGUAAAUCAAUGGGAAUAAAGCUCUUUUUAAUUCACUUUUAUUCAGAAAAGAGAGUGGUAAAUUUAUUAAAGAUUAUUGGCGAACAUUGAAGUACUCUCCCAUUAGCAAUCUCCAUUUAGAAAGCAAUUUAAAUAAUCAAAGGAAAAGAUGCUAUCUCUAAAUUCCUUCGCAAUUUAUAAACAAAGAAUAUUUUUGUUAAC